AGCUUGCUCAGAUAUGACGAUGGACAUUGCAAAGAGUGGCGAACGGGUGAGUAACACGUGGGAAACCUACCUCUUAGCAGGGGAUAACAUUUGGAAACAGAUGCUAAUACCGUAUAACAAUAGCAACCGCAUGGUUGCUACUUAAAAGAUGGUUCUGCUAUCACUAAGAGAUGGUCCCGCGGUGCAUUAGUUAGUUGGUGAGGUAAUGGCUCACCAAGACGAUGAUGCAUAGCCGAGUUGAGAGACUGAUCGGCCACAAUGGGACUGAGACACGGCCCAUACUCCUACGGGAGGCAGCAGUAGGGAAUCUUCCACAAUGGGCGAAAGCCUGAUGGAGCAACGCCGCGUGUGUGAUGAAGGGUUUCGGCUCGUAAAACACUGUUGUAAGAGAAGAAUGACAUUGAGAGUAACUGUUCAAUGUGUGACGGUAUCUUACCAGAAAGGAACGGCUAAAUACGUGCCAGCAGCCGCGGUAAUACGUAUGUUCCAAGCGUUAUCCGGAUUUAUUGGGCGUAAAGCGAGCGCAGACGGUUAUUUAAGUCUGAAGUGAAAGCCCUCAGCUCAACUGAGGAAUUGCUUUGGAAACUGGAUGACUUGAGUGCAGUAGAGGAAAGUGGAACUCCAUGUGUAGCGGUGAAAUGCGUAGAUAUAUGGAAGAACACCAGUGGCGAAGGCGGCUUUCUGGACUGUAACUGACGUUGAGGCUCGAAAGUGUGGGUAGCAAACAGGAUUAGAUACCCUGGUAGUCCACACCGUAAACGAUGAGUGCUAGG
rnacentral:rRNA from 1 species